rnacentral:miRNA from 9 species
CCUCAGAGCUUCCUGUGUUAUG